GAUUUCUGAUGAACCGGAGUGGCCCGUUCUCUUUCUGGGAAUGAGUGCCGCUUUGAGUUUGUCAUCCUUCCAGAGAGCUGCGUCUACCAUUUACUUGGCCGGACGUACGCGAUCUGGAUCGAUUACUUUGAAAAAAUUAGAGUGUUUAAAGCAGGCUUUCGCUAUGAAUACAUUAGCAUGGAAUAAUAAUUUAGGACUUCGGUUCUAUUUUGUUGGUUUCUAGGACUGAAGUAAUGAUUGAUAGGGACAGUUGGGGGUGCUAGUAUUCCGCGGCCAGAGGUGAAAUUCUUGGAUUCGCGGAAGACUAACUACUGCGAAAGCAUU
rnacentral:rRNA from 1 species